GACGAACGCUGGCGGCGUGCCUAAUACAUGCAAGUCGAACGCAGUGGGGACGGGUGAGUAACACGUGGGUCACCUCCCAUCAGAGGGGAUAACACUUGGAAACAGGUGCUAAACCGAUACUGAUGGAUGGACUCGUGGGUCCUUAGCUAGUUGGUGAGGUAACGGCUCACCAAGGCCACGAUGCAUAGCCGACCGGAUAGGGGGAUCGGCCACCCUGUGACUUAGCCACGGCCCAGACUCCUACGGGACGCAGCAGUAGGGAAUCUUCGGCAAUGGACGAAAGUCUGACCGAGCAACGCCGCGUGAUUGAAGAAGGUUUUGGGAUCGUAAAACUCUGUUGUUAGAGAAGCGGUAUCUAACCAGAAAGCCACGGCUAACUACGUGCCAGCAGCCGCGGUAAUUC
rnacentral:rRNA from 1 species